UGGGGAACCUGCCCCAUAGUCUGGGAUACCACUUGGAAACAGGUGCUAAUACCGGAUAAGAAAGCAGAUCGCAUGAUCAGCUUUUAAAAGGCGGCGUAAGCUGUCGCUAUGGGAUGGCCCCGCGGUGCAUUAGCUAGUUGGUAAGGUAAAGGCUUACCAAGGCGAUGAUGCAUAGCCGAGUUGAGAGACUGAUCGGCCACAUUGGGACUGAGACACGGCCAAACUCCUACGGGAGGCAGCAGUG
rnacentral:rRNA from 1 species